rnacentral:rRNA from 1 species
UACAGAGGGUGCAAGCGUUGUUCGGAAUUACUGGGCGUAAAGCGCGUGUAGGCGGUUUAGUAAGUCAGAUGUGAAAGCCCUUGGCUUAACCAAGGAAUUGCAUUUGAAACUACUAGACUAGAGUAUCGGAGGGGAUAGCGGAAUUCCUGGUGUAGAGGUGGAAUUCGUAGAUAUCAGGAGGAACACCUGUGGCGAAGGCGGCUAUCUGGAAGAUUACUGACGCUGAGACGCGAAAGCGUGGGGAGCAAACAGG